ensembl:lncRNA
UCUCUCUCUCUCUCUCUCUCUCUCUCUCUGUCUCUCUCUGUCUCUGUCUCUCUCUCUCUGUCUCUCUCUCUCCCUCUAUUCCAUCUCUUCACAGUGGGUUUUGCGUUGAAGUAAUGAGUGCUCUGUCAGUGCUUAUUGCCUCUAAUGUGGGCAUCCCAAUAAGCUCCACCCACUGCAAGGUGGGCUCGGUGGUAGCGGUUGGCUGGAUCCGAUCCAAGAAGGCGGUUGAUUGGCGGUUAUUCCGUAACAUCUUCCUGGCGUGGUUCGUCACAGUGCCGGUGGCGGGGCUGUUCAGCGCCGCGGUCAUGGCUCUGUUCGUCUACGGCAUCCUCCCUUACGUCUGAGGAAGAGAGGAGAGAGGGAGGAAAGAGGAGAGAGGACAGAGGGAGGAAAGAGGAGGGCGGAAAGAGGAGAGAGGGAGGAGAGAGGAAGGAGAGAGGGAGGAAAGAGGAGAGAGGGAGGCCUCAAGGAGAUGGAGAGUGGGGGAGAUAAAAGUGAGGGGUAAAGAACGAGGGGAUGAAGAGUGGGACUCGGUGUUAAGAAUGGGGCUAGGGGGAGAGGAGAGAGAUGGAGGGGUGGAAUGGUUAAUUACACUGUGUCUGGAGAAGAGGGUUAGAUCACAUGCUGCCUGGGUUCUAGUCCUGAAGAAGGUUAGAUCACAUGCUGCCUGGGUUCUAGUCCUGAAGGUUAGAUCACAUGCUGCCUGGGUUCUAGUCCUGAAGAAGGUUAGAUCACAUGCUGCCUGGGUUCUAGUCCUGAAGAAGGUUAGAUUACAUGCUGCCUGGGUUCUAGUCCUGAAUAGGGUUAGAUUACAUGCUGCCUGGGUUCUAGUCUCGAAGAAGGUUAGAUUACAUGCUGCCUGGGUUCUAGUCCUGAAUAGGGUUAGAUUACAUGCUGCCUGGGUUCUAGUCCAGAGACUCGUUGACUUCCUUCUAUUGUGUUUUAUUUUUGUAAUUUUUGCAUUAAAAAAACGAAUGGUGUUUAACUAACAUGUUAAAUCUUACAACCUGCUGUACAGACGUCCAUAUCACAGACAUACUGUAGCUACACAAUACAGACGUACAGGGCCUUCAGAGAGUAUUCAUACCCCUUGACUUAUUCCACAUUUGGUUGUUUUACAGCCUGAAUUCAAAAUGGAUUUUUUUAUUUUCACCGAUCUACACAAUUGGGCAAAAUUCCAAAGUGAAAACAUGUUUUUAGAAAUGUUGGCUAUUUUAUUGAAAAUUAAAUACAGAAUUGUCUCUUUUUUUCUAUAUGAGUAUUCACACCCCUAAGUCAAUAUUUUGUAGAAGCACCUCUGGGUGAGUCUCUAAGAGCUGGAUUGAUCAUUGAUAGACAACCAUUUUCAGGUCUUGCUAUAGAUGUUCAAGUAGAUUUAAGUUAAAACUGUAACUCUGCCACUCUGGAACAUUUACUGUCUUCUUGGUAAGCAACUGUCUUCCUCUCUGGCAACUGAGUUAGGAAGAAGGACGCCUGUAUAUUUGUAGUGACUGGGUGUAUUGAUACACCGGUAGUGUAAUGAAUAACUUCACCACGAUCGAAGGGUUACCCAGUGUCUGUUUUUUAUAUGUUUACACCAUCUACCAAUAGGUGACCUUCUUUGCAAAAACAUUGGAAAACCUCCCUGGUCUUUGUGGUUAAAUCUGGGAUUGAAAUUCACUGCUCAUCUGAGGAACCUUACAGAUAAUUGUAUGUGUGGAGAACAGAGAUGAGAUAGUCAUUAAAAAAUCAUGUUUAAACACUAUUUUUACACACAGAGUGAAUCCAUGCAACUUAUUAUGCAAAUAUUUACUCCUGAUUUAGACUUGCUGUAACAACGGGGUUUGGAUACUUAUUGACUCAAGACAUUUCAGUUUUUCAUUUUUAAUUACUGUGUAAAAAAAUAAUAAUUUAAAAACAUAAUUCCACUUUGACAUUAUGGGGUAUUGUGAUGUCACGAUGGGGUAUUGUGAUGUCACGAUGGGGUAUUGUGAUGUCACGAUGGGGUAUUGUGAUGUCACGAUGGGGCUUGUGAUGUCAACGAAGGGGUCUGUGAUGCACGAAUGGUUAUUGUGAUGUCACG